AGGUAAGCUACUAAGAGCGAAUGGUGGAUGCCUUGACUGGUAGAGGCGAUGAAGGACGUACUAGACUGCGAUAAGCUAGGUGGAGCUGUCAAGAAGCUUUGAUGCCUAGAUUUCCGAAUGGGGCAACCCAAGAUAUAGAGAUAUAUCUUACCGAUACGGAGCGAACGAGGGGAAUUGAAACAUCUUAGUACCCUCAGGAAAAGAAAUCAAAAGAGAUUGCGUCAGUAGCGGCGAGCGAAAGUGCAAGAGGGCAAACCCAGUGCUUGCACUGGGGGUUGUAGGACUGCAAUGUGCAAGGGCGAAGGUUAGCAGAACACUCUGGAAAGUGUAGCCAUAGAGGGUGAUAGUCCCGUAUGCGAAAGCCUAAGCCUAGCUAGCAGUAUCCUGAGUAGGGCGGGACACGCGAAAUCCUGUCUGAAGCUGGGUAGACCACUAUCCAACCCUAAAUACUACUACCAGAUCGAUAGCGAACAAGUACCGUGAGGGAAAGGUGAAAAGAACGGCGGUGAGCCGAGUGAAAUAGAACCUGAAACCAUUUGCUUACAAUCAUUCAGAGC
rnacentral:rRNA from 1 species